AGAGUUUAUAGGCAAAAUGUUUGGGUUUUUACUGUGUUCAUACUUCAUACAUUUAAUUUUUUUGAAAGUCUUUGCAACACUGUUUCACAUGAUUGAAAUCUUUUGUUCAGAAUAUCAUACAUGUUUUCAGGUGGAAGAGUUUAUAUCAAUAAGGUUUUACCUUCUCUUCCCCCUCUCCAUAGUAUUUUUUGAAGUCCUUGAUCUGAGCUGUAUUGUUUAAAAAAAAAUUAUCUAACAUUUAGAAUAUUUGUCAUGCUGAUAGAAUGCCACCCAUCUGUUUUGCACUUAACCAAAAAGUGAAUUUCUGACCUUCUUUGUGGGAACAGAGUUUUAUCCUAAGUCUUAUUACAAAUACGAAGCAGGAAAAACAAAGUUGAGCUGGAGAGAACAAGGUCAAAUAGCUGUACUAAAUGUUCUCUUUAUUUCUAUUACCGUAAGGCAUUUUAGUGUUGUUUUCUGCACUACCGGAGUAUUAGUCAUUAUUUCUUCUGUCUUCAAAGAGUAAUUGGAAUUAUGCUUUAUUCUGAUUCACUUUAGUAAUAAUCUGUUCCUCCUUAUUUGUGUAGCAAAAGAAAAGCUAGAGAAAAUCAGAAAAAAGAUUGAAGCAAAUCUGGAGACAGGAAUGCAGGCUGUCUUAGGGAUGUAAAAUAGGAUAUAACUUCAGCUCAUCUCUGUGUAUGCUCUGACACUGAGACAAAGUGAGCAUCAUCAGUGCUGUUACGAGAUUGUUCAUGUGGCAGUGGCAGUAUUCUCUUGGAGCACGUUUUCCAUGCCAGUUUUCAGGGAACUGCUUAGAAUGAUAGAGGGGAGGCAGCAGUGCAGAGAGAGAGGAGAUGUCAGCAGUGAGAAAGCUCUUCCUGUGUCAGAAAGGGUCAGCGUGUGUGACACCGGUAGAGUAGAUGGAGCCAUGGCUGCAAGAAACAACAGCCUAGUGAGCAGCAUUCCAGCCAAGCCCCAGUUUUCAGCAUGGCAGUGGACUGGCUCGGCUUUGGCUACGCCGCCCUGGUGGCAUCAGGAGGGCUUAUUGGCUAUGUAAAAGCAGGUACGGUGCGGGAAGGUGCUUGUAUCUCCCGUCGUCUCCCCCUACUCCCCAAGAACUUUGUGAGCUGGGCGGCUUUUUUUGAAAGCCGCCUAUGUCGAAGCUCACACAGAUGUAAAGUUUAUCAGUUUGUGCCACGUGCUGA
rnacentral:lncRNA from 1 species